CCAGCACGGCGGGGCGGCGGUGGGCUCGCGGGAGACGGCGCUCGGGGAGGCGGCGGUGCGCUCGGGCGCCGCAUCAGGAGGCGGCAGCGAGGUGGGGAGGCGGCGCUGCGCUCCAGGGAUGCAGCAGCGAGGCGUCGAGGUGGCGGUGCCCUCGGGCGCCGCAUCAGGCGGCGACAUCGAAGCGGGGAGGCGGCGCUGCGCUCCGAGGAUGCAGCAGCGAGGCGUCGAGGCGUCGAGGCGGACCUGUGCUCGGGCUCCGCAUCAGGCGGCGGCAGCGAGGCAGGAGGCGCACGGGGAGAUGAAAGAGGAGAAAAUGGAGAGUCGGCCAGGGCACGGACCACAGCGGCGCAAGCUUGCAGGGGGCGAUGGAGGGAGGCGGCGCUGCGCUCGGGCGCCGCAUGCCUCCUCUGCGUCUCCUUUCUUUCUUCCACAACUCCUUCUCUCUUGCACGUCACCGUCUUGCUGGCCACGCAGUAAAGAGAUCGAGGAAGAGGCGGGAGUCGGGUCAAUCGAUCUGUCGCACGACAGAUGCGGCACUCCCUGUUCCAUCUAGCAACGGGCAGCAGAGGAAGGUGGAAGAGGAGCCACGACCUCGGAGCAGGAUGCUGCCGCCUAACACGCAUCUGACCAUGAGCUGGAGGAUAAGAGAAGCGCAUCUCUGAAAUUCACAGUUUUAAACCCAAAGAGAUACAUCUAGACAAUGCUCGCAUGAGUGGUUCCAGUGUCAUAUACGCCAACAUGGCAGUUGGAGAUUUGGGAUCGGAUGCUGCUCCAAGAACGAGGGACCAAGGUGCUGAACUAACAGCAGGGGGAGGAUGAUUCUUCAGGUAACAACAUAGCCCGUCGACUAGAGAAUUAAGUUAACUGUUUGCUUUACUUGAAGCUCCAAAUUGUAGUAAUUUUAUUCGUUGACUAAUUUGGUAUAAUCUUAAUCUAGGAGGAUUAGCACUGUAUGAUAUGAGAUACUGACGUUUAGCAAUGAUAAAAGUCUGAUGUUGAAUGGUUCUUUUCGGAGUACAGUUGUAAGAUCUAUGAUUCUAGCUUCGACCUUUAACUGGACAGUACUAAUUGGACAUAUAAUUGAUGAUUUAUGCACAGCAAGAUAUUCUGUUGUUUUUAGUUCUUCAAUCAGAUUCAUCUAGCCCUUUGUUGACUUUCUAAUUGUUACCCUUUACCUCUGAAACUCAGAAAUCAGAGAAAGGUCAUUGGCAAUUUGGCAUAUCCCUGUCACUGGCGAAGAUUUGCUAGAGAGGAAGAGCACCAGAUUUUUUUUCUAUUGUUGGGGGCAUACAUAAUACAUAUAGAUAAAUUUGGACCAUUUUUAACAGAGAGAUUUCUUGCCACAAAUAUUAACUCUGUCCAGCAGUGGGCAUUGUCAAGGUAAUAAAAGGAAUUUGCUGAACCUAAUUGAAUGAAAGAGGGAUGGCUAAUCGGAUUGAGAACCUUCUGUAACUGAAUAGACUUAUGAACGAUCAACAAUACUAAAUAGUUCCAAAUUAACAGACAUUGCUUGAUUAAAAUACUGAUUUAAGAAUUUGGCGAAUCUAUAAUUCUCUACAUAAUCACUUAGUGUAUUUUUGAUCACCGGGUUAUCCUAGACCACUUGGGGACAGUAUCAUCAAUUUCUUGCAUACUGCAAUGCAAGUUUUAAAAGCCAAUUUCUUAUGUUUCUUAUUAUCUUUAUGUUCACCUAACUGCCAAGAAUCAUAAAAGGAUGCACCUAAGGAGGUAGAUUUUGUUUUAUGCAUAUUUUAAGUGUACGUAUGCUGCAACUGAUUAACAAAACAUUGUUCAACCUUCUAUGAGUCUGCCUAGGGAGCUGCACAGAUUUGGAACAACUUCCAGAACAAGCACCAAGCAUUUUGGUCAGGUACCACUAAGCUGCCAGAGCAAGAUAGCUGGGAUGUCAAGUCCCUAGGGCAAUGGUAAAUCUCAAAUUGCCUGAUGUUCGAUGGGAAGCAUCAGACAAUACCAAUGUCCAGUAGUAAGAUCUGAUUGUGCAGGUGGUCAAGCCAAGAUAAGUGUUAACUUUGUUCUCCAAUAUAGGUGGCUUAUGUUUGUGCAAAAUGAUUAUGAAAGGACUUCUGGUAACUUUAUCUUUUGUCAAGGUUGUUUACUUGGUGGAGCAAACUUCCAUUUCCUCUGAACAGGUGAACAUGACAUGUGUGAUGGCUGUCAGCCCUAAUGAGCUUUAGACAUGUAUCUGAGGUUUCGUUGGCUGUAAACAAGUAGGGUCAAUGAGUCGAGCAGAUCCUGGACCAUCACAUGAACACAUGAAAUAGGUUGAGACCGGCAGCUUUUGGUAACCAGUCUAAGCUCUAGCACCUUGAUGCAAGCCAGAAUAGCCUCACUGGAUCAACAUUCCCGGGAAUAACAGAAUUGGUGAACCAGUUGACACUUGAUCUUAACUAAUCAGUUAAUUAAACCCUGAAUUUGAAUGAAGGGCUCCUUGACUAAUUUGUUCACAAGUAGUCCAAUGAUUCGGGGUUUAGACUUUAGUGUUUUUGGAUUAUUACGGGGCAGCAACCCUGCUUUUGAGCACACCCAAACAAAUUGAAUCAGGGUCUCUGCUUUUGGUUGUUCAAGUUUGUGGUAAAUCAUUAUGAACAGUUGUGUUUCCGGUGGCACCUAAAUA